UAGGGAAUCUUCGGCAAUGGACGGAAGUCUGACCGAGCAACGCCGCGUGAGUGAAGAAGGUUUUCGGAUCGUAAAGCUCUGUUGUUAGAGAAGAACGUUGGUAGGAGUGGAAAAUCUACCAAGUGACGGUAACUAACCAGAAAGGGACGGCUAACUACGUGCCAGCAGCCGCGGUAAUACGUAGGUCCCGAGCGUUGUCUGGAUUUAUUGGGCGUAAAGCGAGCGCAGGCGGUUCUUUAAGUCUGAAGUUAAAGGCAGUGGCUUAACCAUUGUACGCUUUGGAAACUGGAGGACUUGAGUGCAGAAGGGGAGAGUGGAAUUCCAUGUGUAGCGGUGAAAUGCGUAGAUAUAUGGAGGAACACCGGUGGCGAAAGCGGCUCUCUGGUCGGUAACUGACGCUGAGGCUCGAAAGCGUGGGGAGCAAACAGG
rnacentral:rRNA from 1 species